rnacentral:rRNA from 1 species
GAUGAACGCUAGCGGCAGGCUUAACACAUGCAAGUCGAGGGGUAUUGGUUUUCGGACCAAGAGACCGGCGCACGGGUGCGUAACGCGUAUGCAAUCUACCUUUUGCAGAGGGAUAGCCCCAGAGAAAUUUGGAUUAAUACCUCAUAGUAUAGUACUUUGGCAUCAAGGAACUAUUAAAGUCACAACGGCAAAAGAUGAGCAUGCGUCCCAUUAGCUAGUUGGUAAGGUAACGGCUUACCAAGGCUACGAUGGGUAGGGGUUCUGAGAGGGAGAUCCCCACACUGGUACUGAGACACGGACCAGACUCCUACGGGAGGCAGCAGUGAGGAAUAUUGGACAAUGGGCGCAAGCCUGAUCCAGCC